rnacentral:rRNA from 2 species
CCUCGAUGUCGGCUCAUCGCAUCCUGGGGCUGUAGUCGGUCCCAAGGGUUGGGCUGUUCGCCCAUUAAAGCGGUACGCGAGCUGGGUUCAGAACGUCGUGAGACAGUUCGGUCCCUAUCCGUCGUGGGCGUAGGAAAUUUGAGAGGAGCUGUCCUUAGUACGAGAGGACCGGGAUGGACACACCGCUGGUGUACCAGUUGUCUUGCCAAAGGCAUCGCUGGGUAGCUAUGUGUGGACGGGAUAAGUGCUGAAAGCAUCUAAGCAUGAAGCCCCCCUCAAGAUGAGAUUUCCCAUAGCGCAAGCUAGUAAGAUCCCUGAAAGAUGAUCAGGUUGAUAGGUCAGAGGUGGAAGCGUGGCGACAUGUGUAGCUGACUGAUACUAAUCGAUCGAGGACUUAACCAAAC